UACGUAGGGGGCUAGCGUUGUCCGGAAUCAUUGGGCGUAAAGCGCGCGUAGGCGGCCCGGUAAGUCCGCUGUAAAAGUCAAAGGCUCAACCUUUGAAUGUCAGUGGAUACUGCCGGGCUAGAGUCCGGAAGAGGCGAGUGGAACUCCUGGUGUAGCGGCGGAAUGCGCAGAUAUCAGGAAGAACACCGACGGCGAAGGCAGCUCGCUGGGACGGUACUGACGCUGAGGCGCGAAAGCGUGGGGGAGCGAACAGG
rnacentral:rRNA from 1 species